GACGUAGGGGGCGAGCGUUGUCCGGAUUUAUUGGGCGUAAAGAGCUCGUAGGCGGCUCAGAAAGUCGGGUGUGAAACCUCCAGGCUCAACCUGGAGACGCCACCUGAUACUGCUGUGGCUAGAGUCCGGUAGGGGAACACGGAAUUCCCGGUGUAGCGGUGAAAUGCUUAGAUAUCGGGAGGAACACCAGUGGCGAAGGCGGGUCUCUGGGCCGAUACUGACGCUGAGGAGCGAAAGCGUGGGGAGCGAACAGG
rnacentral:rRNA from 1 species